AGACAGGAAAAACACCCAAAAGGUAAAGGCCAGGCUGGUUCAUGCCGGACACCUAACCCCCUGCUACCACAUGCUGUUUUCCACACUGGGUGCUGGCCUGUGGGAACCUGCACAAGUCGGGGGCAACAUGGUCCCAGGAAGUCUUUGACAGGCUGCCCCCUGCUGGCUGCUGCGGGAACCACAUGGCAGAUGGCUCCUGGUGUCCCCUGGAAGUCAGGUCUUGCUCUGUCACCCAGGCUGGAGUGUGUGGUGCGAUCAUGCCUCACAGCAGCCUUGACAUCCCCAGGCUCAGAUGAUCCUCCCACCUCAGCCUCCUGAGUAGCCGCGACUACAGGCGCAUGCCACCACACCCAGGCAACAUCUCCAGCAUGAAGCCCACUGGCCUCAUGUCUGUACUUCUGGAGUCCAGCUCUGCUUUUGUGAUACCAGCGACAGAACUCUGCAAACAUCUCUGCUUCGCAGCUGGCAUCCUGUUGGAUUUUUCCAGUAGAGGGAAGCUUCCAUGCUGCAGGAAGAAGGGGCGUGCUCCUUCCCGUUCCUGUCAGCACUGCUGCAGCAGUUUGCUCUCACAGCUGCAUGUGAUCCCAGCUGCCAUUUCUGACCUGCUCAGAACCAGCUUCAUGAUGGGCUCAAAGACCCAGGACCAGGUGCUCUUGUGACUUCUCUGACUUCAGUCCUUCUGGAGUCAGAUCACCCAGCUUCUCUGAUGAGUGACUGGUCAUUUUUAAAGCAUGCCUGCAGCAGUCUUCAAGAGGUUUCUGCCUGGGCAUCACAAUCAGCACACAUUUGCUCAUACACAUACCAGCUCUGGCAUGUACACGUGGCCACGGUACCCUUCGUACAACACGGGAAGAGAACAACAGGACGCCCAAGAGGCAUCUGGACAGCACACAGCAAACAGAAAGGCUGAACGCCCCCCCAUGGAACCCCAUUAAAAAACAAUGUUUGUCUAUUACAAAGUCACGUUUUCCGUUUUUCCGCUUUAUAAAGUCAGCGAUGCUGGAGGGUGUCUAGCGGAAUCCGUCCUCCAGGAAUGAGUGCAAAAGGAGAGCGCACGGCUCAGGGACGUCCCUUCAGUGAGCAAUGGAAGGACUGGCUGGAGGCCUCCCAUCCAUUUCGGACAAACACACACAUACAGAAAAGGAUUAUUGCCAGCUUGUGU
ensembl:lncRNA novel transcript